ensembl:lncRNA
CCAGAAAGAGGCAGACUGUCACCAGCCCAUCUGUGCAGGGCAGCCUACUUCCUCCCACUUUGCCGAACUCUAUCAGCUGAACAUACUGCUGCUCUGUACCCAUUCCCUACUGCUUGUUCACACCCAUGCCGCUUGCCAGGAGAUUUCACCUGGCACAGGCUUUUCAAGGAGGCUGAAGAAGAUGUGGGGACAUGAUCAUCACGUGUAAAGUAAUUCUUCCAGAGAGAACUAAAGGAAACCACAUUUUGUGCCAGAAUAGAAAACAACAACAGAAGAUCAUGUAGUCUGACAGUCCUGGCCAGGACAAGAUCGGCUUUGGCACUUGGUGGCUGUUUAAUACAGCAAACUCUUUAUUUAAAUUUUAUUAGCCAAUAAUGAAUUCAUAGAUUUACAGGGCGUAGUGUUGCUUUUCUGGUUUCUUUUUUUUUUUGUGUGUGUGUGUGUGGUGUGUGUGUUUUUAUUUUUGUUAGGUUUUUUUCUAUUUAAUUAAAUCUGUGGGUUUUUAGGUGAGUUGACAGUAUUUGGUAUUUUUGCUAUUACAUUGUUUUUGUUACUUUUGACGCUAGAUAGUCAUACUAAUGCUUUCAGAAGCUAUUUUGACUCUUAGGCAAAUGACUUGUUUCCUUUCCUGUUUGUUCCAAUUGUAUCCUCUGACAAGGAGAGCCACAGAUUCAGUCUCUGAUGGCAUAUGUCUGAGUUUUAGAAUAUGCCAAUUCUAUUAAUAUUUCUGUUUUAAAGCCAACGUUUUUUGGACAGAAGCGACUUUUUGUGUUUUUUGUUUGUUUGUUUUUUAACUAUUUGUUCUCUCCGUUAUGGCAUGAAACAUUCAAGUAAAGCAGUGAAAUUAGUGCACAAAUGCUUUGCAAAUAGCAAAGUAGCAAUCUCUACUCUUAUAGCUGUGGAAUUCCAACACAGUUAAGAUGAUAGUAGCCAUCUUGCAUUAAUGUAAUUGCUUUAGCUAAACAACUUUUAAUCAUAAACAUAUGUUUAUUUUAUAUUCUUCAUGUGUGUGUGCAAUGUGAUAAAUACCAGUGUCUCUAUUAAUGGUAAUAAGGCAAUCAGUGUGCAAAACACCUCAGAAUGAAAAUGGAGAUCUCUAAAGCCUUAAUCCUUUAGGACUAGUUCCUAGACUUUCAUAAAUAUAUCCAAAGAGAGUUGCUAAAGCCAUCGAAUAUAAAAGGUAGAACAUUCUGAGGAAGGAAAACACUUUGUAUCCAACACGUUUAUGUGGUUUGUACCACGUGGUGACAAAGGCAAUUAGUGGAGCCUUACUAGAAAACUUUUAAGAUUUCUCAGGACUUUUUCUCCAGCAACUUAGGUAUUUAUUAAUAUGGUGUGAGAGAACUUUAGUCACAGAUCCAGCUACACGACUGAUAGUCAUGAAAUAUCAUAGAUUAGGCCAGGUUGGAAGGGAUGUUGAAAGAUCUUCAGGUACAACCUUUUAUGGGAAAAAGUAGCCUAGACAGAUUAUCUAGCACUCUGUUCGGUGGCAUCUUGAAAACCUCCAGUGACAGGGAUUCUAACAGGAAACAUGGGAUGUUGUUCCAGUGAUUGAUCUUUCUCAUGGUAAAAAAUUCCUUUCUUAUAUUGAGACAAAACCUUCUCUAGUGCAGUGUGUACCAGCUGCUCCUUGUCUUCUCCAUGUGGCUCCUCAUGAACAGAGAGCCUCUGUUCUCUUUCUAGCUGCUCUUUAAGUACUGGAAUACUGCAGAAAUAUUUCUCUUGAGCUUUCUCCUUCACACUACAAGAAUACCAAAUUCCUUCAGUCUUUCCCCACAGAGCAGAUUCUCCAGCCUUUUCAGUGCUUUUGUGGCCCUCUCCAGUCUUUCUGCAUCUUUUUCGAAUUGUGAGUGUCAACUGGAUGCAGUACUCUAGAUGUAGCCUGACAAGCUCUGAGUAGAGCGGGAUGAUCAUAUACCUAUCUCAGCUAAUAAUACCCCUGUCAAUGCAGUUCACGAUGCCUAUUGAUCUUGUUGUUCACCACACCCGCAAGGUCUCUAUCAGCACGGCUCCAUCAACACAGAUCCUAGCCAGUAGUGUGCUCUUUGGUUAUGUUGUCACAGGCGUGGGUCAUUGCAUUUGUCCUGACUGUCCUUCUUGCUCAUUCUUCCAUCCUGCCCCAGUCUCUCUGUAAGAUGUCCCUUCUUUCUGAUCUGUCCUCUUUACCAUCCAGUUUAAUAUUGUCAGCAAACUUAAUGAUAGUACUUUCAGUUCCAUUAUCCAGAUGGUUUAUGAAGAUGCUGAACAGCGUGGGGCCUACUAUCAAUCCCUGAGGGUGCCACUUCUGACAGGCUGCAAGCCUCACUAAAACCCACUGAUCACCAUUUGCUGAGCAUGGCCCAUUAGCCAGUUUUCUACCCAUUUCAAAGAGCACUGAUCCAAUCAUUAUCUUGCCAGUUUGCCUAGGCAAAGGAUGUGGGAAACUGUGUUGAAUGUUUUGCUGCAAUCCAGGUAAACGAUAUCCACUGCUCUUCCCAUGUUGACAGAAAAUGCUGUUUUGUUGUAGAAGGUUAUUAGGCUACUGAAUUGGCAUUUAUCUGCCAUUUGUUUAGUUUUAUUUUGUUCUUGUAGAUACUGUAUAGCUAUAGCACUGCAUAAGGUUGGCUGAAAAACAAGGAAUUGUUUCUAGGAAAAAAAUGCAAAUUGAAAGAAAAAUAAAUUAGGUCUUCUUAAAAUCUAUUUCUGAAAGGAAUGGAGAAAACCUUCUUGCUGCUCAAGAAGUAGUAGGAGGUCAGGUGUAUUCCCAAGAGUGCACUCAUAAAGCUCAUUUCUGAACUGAGUGAAUCUCAGACUUACUGUUCAAUUUGAGACUGUAACUCGCAGUUAAAUUGCAUUAGAAAUUCCAUGUUGGAUAUUCAAGAUUUUCUUGAUUCUUUCUUUAUUUUAAGAGAUAAUUUGAAACCAAUUAUCAGUGUCCUGUUUUAUGCAAAAUAUAAUUCUAUUCCAUAUGCAAAAAAAUUCCAAAGAAACAAACAAAAAGAGUACUUCCAGUUGCCUAGAACUGAACACACACGCAGGUCUUCUUCAGUGUCUCCACCCCAUACUUACAACCCAGGCUGUCCUGCUGGACCAAUUCUUCUUCUUGGGUGGUUCAAGUUCACUGGCUUUAAGUUUUAUAAUAUUAUAUGAGGCAUGCCACAAUCAUACUGAUAUUCACUGUUUGGAAUAUACUAUUCCUUGAGUUUUCCCGUGCUGAUGGAAAAUCAACAGAUCAGAGCUUGCUCCAAAAAAUUAUAACUCAUCUUGUAACAUGUUGACCUUAUUUUUUUGUUUUUACUUUUGAAGCUACUGAAAUCCUGGGUCUUGCUAUUGAAAAUACUUUUGUUGUGGAAAAUAUUUUAUUUUUUUAUUCUUAGUCCCUACAAGGACUAGUAAUAUUCAAAUACCAUUCUGUAACAGCAACAGUCAUUUAAAAUUGCGAGCCCCAAACUUGGCAUUUGAAAUAAAACCCACAAAUUAAGCGUGGAAUGAUGGAUUUAUUUUCUGCUUGUUGUGUCUGAAGAGAUUCAAUAACACUUUCAAACUUCCUUAAAUUUUUGAAAUGAACUAUUUGAGAACAGAUAAAUAAGAAAUACAUUUUUUUGUUAUGCUAGGAUUCUAGUGCCUAUUGUAAUCAGUGCUCUUAUGAAUUUAAUGAGGCUUAAAUGAGAAAAAGGUUAUUGGAAUGCACAUUAUGUUUUCAGAGCAUGAGGUGCUCCUAUGCAGCCCUGUAGAUCAAUAGUCAUGUCCACUGAGAUGUGGAAGGAGAACGGGUUGGUAGGGUCAUACCACUCUUCCUGCACUGAAUGACAAACAAAUGAAGCAGUGUAGGAAAAUGUUGUGGUAUGCUUGCAGAGGGGCAGAGAGUAGGAAAAACAGUAACACCACCUGAAAGAAAACAAAAAAGGGAAAAGUGCUUAUUGAGCUGCAAGCUCUGCUUAGUUGUGAGUAUCAUUUUAUUUUAAGGAUAAAAUUUCAUAUGGAAACUUUGAAUUUGGAGAAAGGAGUUAUCUUGUGGUGAGGACUUGGUUGAAAUUUGUGGGUUUUUUUGUUUUGUUUUGUUUUUUGGGGAAUCUGGCAGUGUUGUUAUCCACUGUGUGGUUUUCACACAUAAACACACUUUUAUACUGAAGCUUACGCCCUUGCCAGAAGGCUAAUGGUAUCUUGGGCUGCGUUAGGCAAAGUAUCUUUAGCAGGUUGAAGGAGGGAUCAUGAUAGUUCUCCUUGCUUAACAAUUUUUUAGCUGUGACUUUCUUGCAAUGUGCUAUUACUAGAUGCAGUAGUCUCUAAGGAUGACCUUGUUCAGACAUUACAUCUGUAGGUGAAUUAGUUCUUUCUCUCCACUGUAGAGCAUAUUCCAUAGGCCUUUUACCUGCUGGUACAUUUGGUGUGCAGUAAAAAUGAGACAAACUCUUUGUACAAAGAGCCUCUUGAAACAUAGCAACAACAAAGAAAUAAUCCUGAUUCUGUAUUCCACAGUAUCCACCAAAGUUGGACCUCCAAAGUGACUGAAUUUAAAAGAUUGAUACACACUGCAUAUCUUAAUUUCCAGAGCAGCCAGACAAGACCUUGUGUUGUCCUGCUUACUGUGUUCAGGUGAUUUGUUACUGAAACAGCCUAGUUGUUUGCAAUGCAACUAAUAUUUAACUGUUUUGCAAUAUCUUUUCUGCACAUUAAGCAUCUGCUUUGGUCUACAAAGUGUCUGCUCAUUUUCUAUAAUGAAGUGUCUAACAGAUUCUUUUGGGUACAAUAAAGUACUGUGUGCAAGUAUUAAACCAGUAACUUGGCAAUACAGAAUCAAGCCUUUCAAAAAACUAAACAAGUUAAGACAGUUUGUGCAGCUUUAAUUUGCCUCUAAUUUGCCUCUUGUGCCUAUGUGCAAAACAGUCUUUAGCUAUAGAAUUAUCUAAGCUCCCUGCUAUGAAGUCAUAUCCUGAUUUCACAGCAACUUUCCGUUUUCUUCUGUCAUAGUAUUAGAGACAGCACACGGCAGUUGCAUUACUAGUAGAAAAUCUGUUGACUAUUGCAAAGUGGAGUAUUAAAAAUUUCAUAGGAAUUAAACGGAGGUAAUCAACAGGAGAUAGCGCUUAGCACAGCUACUUCCAAUCUAAACCUCCACUUUUUGGGUAGAGCAGACUUUGAAUCUAUCUUGGAGCUCCCUCUAGUGCUUUACCGGCCUACUGCAACUAAUAUUUAACAGGAGGCGUCGAGAAGAAUGGCUUUGAGCGGCUCUCGGUAAAUACACGUAACUAUAACAAAAAGUCUAUGAGCCUUCAGAUUUCAAUUAUUCUACCAGCAAGUUAUGCGGUGACUACUGAAAGGGAAAGAAAGAAAGAAAGAAAGAAAUCCCUUGAUUUCUUUUUUCCUUGACAACCAUCUUUUAUUUUCAAGUGAAGCAAGGAAACAUUUUCAUCUCAAACUGUAGUGUUGGUUACUGAAGCUAUAACAAAACAGCUGUGACUUGGAUCUAUCUGAUAGCAUCAGUAGUGAAAGCAUGCAUUCAUCUUUCAUAUCAUAUUGAAAGAUAAAAGAAGAAAUAUAUAAAAUAAAUAAUAGGGACCUCUUUGCUGUACAUUCACGGUUUCUUCUCUUUAUGAAGAGAAAUCUUUUAGAUUUCUUUGUUGAUACCACCAACUACCUAGUUACAAAAGCUCUCAUUUGCUACUGAUGGCUAUGGGAUAAGUUCGAAGCUAACCUCUGUGAAGUCACAGUGUGGGGUCUCUGAGGCGACUGCUCAAGAAAUUUCUAACUGUACUAAAGUGGCAUCAAUUGGUCUUCAAUUACCUAUUAUGGAGUCUUUUGAUUUCUCUUCACCAUAGUCUUCAUCGAAUAAGUACUGAAAACUAUUUGCUUUUGUUGACAGAUCGGGACAUGCUUCUGCAAAGACUGCAGCAACUUGUUUUUGUUUGCUUUUUGUCUCUUGGAAACGGCCCAGUUUCUCCACUUUGAUGUGAAAGAAAGAGCGCUUAUUUGCUGCCAUUGAAGCCAAAUAUACUGCCAUUUGAUGAACAAAAAGAGAACUUUGCCAUGUGUUAUGUGACUAAACACUUUACAUGAGUAUCUGUUGACUCAGAUCAGUGGGAUCAUGUAUUGUGAACUGAUGUUUGGAGCAAAACUUAUUUGUACUUGUUUGUUUAUUUUAUUUCAGAACAUUAAACAAAAAGUAUCUGUUUGUUCAGACUUUGGCUGCACAUGUUAAUGAUAGCUGGAAAACUGAAAACUUCUUGCCAAGGCAAAUAGCAUUCACCAAAGUGAACUGUAAUCCAGGAAUCUGAACCAGCAAAUUCUUUGUGCUAGCAUUCUAGCAUUUUUAGGGAACAAUAGUGAAACCUGCACGCAGAAGGAAAACAAAGAGGGGGAAAAAAAGAAAGAAAAAAAAAAGAAAUAGCAUGCUGUUCUUGGCACUUGAAUUUGUAAUUUAUUACUCUCUUGUCAGUUUGAACCUGCAGAUAUUCCUGUCAGUGUUCCGGUAUGGGGCACCACAUCCACUCUGUCCAACCUUCUGCAUUUCAACAACAGCUUUCAGAGUGCUUACCAUAUGUUUGGAUCCACCUGCAAAACUUCACUUAAAUAAGCAGUGGUCUUUUGGGAGAUAAUUUUCUUCCACAGGAGUCAUUAAGAAUACUAAGUCAAAAGCAGUGUAACCCCAUUGUAUCUGCAGUACAAGCUUACACAGUAAUACUAAGGAUACAGGGAAAUUAUGAGGUGUGCUGUAACUCACAUUGUUACUGAGGAAAUAAUGCAUUUUGAAUCAGCUUGAAUUUUAACAGUGAAGUACCCCUGUAAAUUCUUUCCUGCUAUAUUCUUUACUGCAGGCCAAACAAAUGUAUUUAUCACAAGAGACAGUUACAGAAAGUUCUGUAUCCUUCCUCACCUAGAGCAAAGACUGUUCCACUCCAUCAAAAUGGUUAUGUGAAAGACAAAAACCUCUUCAUCUUCACAAUCACCAUCAUGCCUGGGCUUCAUCGCUUACUCUGCACCAGAGAGGCUUGGAGCUUGCUGGGCAGACGAUCCACAGUCCUUUUUCAGAGUCAUCCUGAUUAUUUUUAUUUGAAGAAUUCAGUUGCUGGUAGGAAGUAGAUUUCUCUGUUUUUUUUCUGCCUGUGGGAAGCCGCUGUAGGCCAAAGGUGUAAAAGUAAAACUAAUCUGAAAUGAUUCCUACUAGAGAAGGAAAAGGUAUCAAGUCCUGAAGUGAAGGCUUGCAGAAAUCUUAAACUCUGCUGCUGGAGCUGGAUGGACUACAAGCCUACUCUGGGGGGAAGUGCAGGCAUUGGGGUUGCGGCUGACGUCAGAUGUUUCUGAAGAGCCUUACUGAGACCUGAGAGGUAAAGGUUUUCUGCUGACAGAAUAGUAGUGUUAUACUCUGAGGUACAAAAUACUGUAUGCAUUAUUUUGGAAUGAUCAUAUUGCAAUUCCAUCCAUUCAUUCUCUUAUUUGCAGAUUAUUAUUAUUUUUAUUAUUAUUAUUAUUAUUGUUGUUGUUAUUUUGUAUGUACGUGAUUUAAUGGAUUUUUGCUUUGUAGAUACGUAAGUGGAAGCAUACCUGCUGUUAACUAAGGCUUUCCAAGAUCUGCAUGUUUGGAUGAGAGCUAAAAACAAGGUUAGAAGCAAGGGGAUGCCGAGUGCUGAUGCUGCAAGCUGAAAGACCACUGUGUUACUGCUGACACUGGUGAUUUUCUUUCCAAAGGUCUUCUGCAAUCCUGAGUUUUUUUCCCUGUAAUCCAUUGUACAUGACAUAACUCCUCUGCACUAGGCUGUUCACCUUUUUGCUGUAUGCUACUGGGCUAUAUAUAUGUGUAUCUCAGAGAGUGAAUGGAGUCUGUUGUGUCUCUCAGACCUGUUCUUCAAAGCUUGCUAUUUGAAAUGCCUAGACGUCACCAGGCCUGUAAACACACUCUUGCA